AUUUAUAAUUCAUCCUUAGGACAGCUGUUGCCGUCAAUGGGUACAUUAAUUACUUUUCUUGUGAUAAACAUAUAAGAAGGAUCCACAUUGAGCGAAAUGACAGUAACUGAAACGAGCUCUUGAGUCAGAUAGAAGUGUCUCAGAACGUUUGCAAGGAGAUUAUUACUGCUAAAGAUGAAAUCGAUGACGCUCACGGUAGUUAUCAUCACAGUGUCUUGCCUACUUAUAGUGUUGUCUCCCCAUGCAAAUGCCCAGUGUUCGGUAUCGUGUUCGGAUGAUAAAAAGCGAUGCACUGCUGCCUGCGUAGUGCUACCAAUAUCUGAAGAGCAGACAUGCAUCGAUUUCUGUUACGAUCAACACGUGAAAUGUCAAAACGAUUGCUCCGCAGUAUCAGGAAGAUUUCUUCGCCGGGAUGAGAACCUACUGGAAGAACGGUCUCAGAGCAAUUUUGAUUAAAUCUACAACCCAUGGACAAGCGACGCAAGUUGCUUGGAAAACUGAAACAUACGGAUACUUGAAAACUGGGUUGAACUAAAACUACGAGUAAAAGAAAUUUCAAAACUACUUCAGUAAAAUGAUGUAGUCGCGUGACUUGCUCAGUAAAUAUAAUAAGUUUUUAAACGUAACUUAUAAAAGAGUUGAUUAAAACAUUAUAAACUAUUA